rnacentral:rRNA from 1 species
GAUGAACGCUGGCUACAGGCUUAACACAUGCAAGUCGAGGGGAAACGACGGGGAAGCUUGCUUCCCCGGGCGUCGACCGGCGCACGGGUGAGUAACGCGUAUCCAACCUGCCUCUGACUGAGGGAUAACCCGUCGAAAGUCGGCCUAAUACCUCAUGGCAUCGUCUGCGGGCAUCCAACGACGAUUAAAGAUUUCAUCGGUCAGAGAUGGGGAUGCGUCUGAUUAGCUUGUUGGCGGGGUAUCGGCCCACCAAGGCGACGAUCAGUAGGGGUUCUGAGAGGAAGGUCCCCCACAUUGGAACUGAGACACGGUCCAAACUCCUACGGGAGGCAGCAGUGAGGAAUAUUGGUCAAUGGGCGAGAGCCUGAACCAGCCAAGUAGCGUGCAGGAUGACGGCCCUAUGGGUUGUAAACUGCUUUUAUGCGGGGAUAAAGUGAGGGACGUGUCCUUCAUUGCAGGUACCGCAUGAAUAAGGACCGGCUAAUUCCGUG